rnacentral:rRNA from 1 species
AAAGAGACUACAAGCGUUACUCGGAAUCACUGGGCGUAAAGCGUGCGUAGGCGGUCGAGCGAGUCAAGCGUAAAAGGCGGGGGCUUAACCCCAGUUACAUGCGUUAGACCCCGCGACUAGAGCGAGAUAUAGAGGAAAGCGUAAUGCCUUAUGUGUCAGUGAAAUGCGUAGAUAUCAGGAGGAACACCAAAGGCGAAGGCGACUUACUGGGUAUUAGCUGACGCUGAGCCUCGAAAGCGUGGUGAGCAAAAAG